AUUCCGUGAUGAGGACACUUUCUCAGCAUUACCUUGAACCUUUCAUAUGCAUCACACAAUGAUUCUCUGUCAUUUUGAUAGAAAUUAUUGAUCUCACCCCUUAAAUU